GACGAACGCUGGCGGCGUGCUUAACACAUGCAAGUCGAACGGAAAGGCCCUGCUUUUGUGGGGUGCUCGCGGGGCGAACGGGUGAGUAACACGUGAGUAACCUGCCCUUGACUUUGGGAUAACUGCAGGAAACUGGGGCUAAUACCGGAUAGGAGCUCCUGCUGCAUGGGGGGGGUUGGAAAGUUUCGGCGGUUUGGGAUGGACUCGGGGGUUAUCAGCUUGUUGGUGGGGUAGUGGCUUACCAAGGCUUUGACGGGUAGCCGGCCUGAGAGGGUGACCGGCGUCCAUGGGACUGCGAGACGCACCAGUCUCCUACGGGAGGCAGUAGUCGGGAGUCUGGCACAGUGGGCCGGAGCCUGAUGAAGAAGCCCUCCGAGCGGGAUGCCGGUCAUGGUGUUGUAAAGCGCUUUAGCCUGAGACGAAGCGGGAGUGACGUUAAUGGGUAAAGAAGCACCGGCUAACUACGUG
rnacentral:rRNA from 1 species